GAGCACCAGUGAUUCAUCCACGUCACCCAGUUUCUCCCGAGCAUGUUUCCUGGAGGCCGAGCCCACGCUGUCGGGAAGGGCCCUCUCUUUGCUGUGCGGAAUUCACAAGCAGGGCUGGAGAGAGGAGCAGGGGCCUGGACCCGAGUCCUUCAUGACGGGGGCCCUCCCCCAGGGAGAGAGGAUGCAGCGCCAGGGCAGUGGCUCGGCCACCUCAGGGUCCACUGAGUACCUGCCAUGCCCUGCCCUGGGCCAGGAGGUCCAACCUGGCGGAAUGCAACGGUCAAGGUCUCGGUCUGCGGCGUCCAUCCUGGGCUGACGCACUGGGGAAUCAUUGAUUGUCCCAAACUGUGACGACUGUGGGAAGGAAAGUGUCAGAGUGUAUCAAAGUCUGUGACUCAGGCUGGGGUGCUCUUGGGGGCUUCUCCAGAGGGGACACUCUCCUGGGCCCAGGUGUGGCUGGAGAGGAGGGAGGUGAGGCUGCCCGGGCCAGUGGUGCUGCAUGCUGAGCUGCAAGGAGGGCAGGCCUCGGUCAGUAGGGGCCAGCGGGUCCCAGCCCAGGCGCUGAGGGAGGGGUCGCUGCAUUUCCCCCGGCUCUCACCCACCUGUCUCCCACCCCUGCCAUGUGACUCAGCCGCUCACCCUCCCGAGGGUGGAGUCUCUUUCCGUUCCUUUGUUCUGUGUCUGGCCGUGGGAUGGGACGAGGGCAGAGGCUGGGAAGGCACCUGCUGGCUCUUCCUCUCUCCUUCACCAUCACUGAGCAGUGUCUAGGCUCCCCAGCUGAGAAUGAGACACAUCGAGGGAUGGGACAGAGCUGCCUGGUGGCAGCAGAGAGACAAGCAGCCCCAGACUAGUGAGUGAGCCCCGAGUGACCCCAGCGAGGACAGAAGAGUCACCUGAGCUCAGCCUGACCCCUGACCUGCAGCUUGUGAGCUAAAUAAAUACUCGGGUUGAAACCAGA